AUCCGACCUCUAUAGGUAUCUACUCAGGAUCAACCUGAAACAGUCCUCUUCAAGUUAAAUUUUUUUCUUUAAAAAAAUUCAACCUGCUGAAUCUGAAUGAAGACUGGAUCGUGAUCAACACUUGAUCUCUUUCCUUGAUCUUCUUCUUCUCUUUUUUUUGUUACCUUUCUCCCUGACUUUGUGCUACUACCAAACUUUAGAAAUCAGCAAAUAGGAGAUGCCCAAUAGCUUGGGCAUGGAGAAGAAGUGGGACAUCCCAAAAGGGAGGAUAUGUGGGACACCAAGGGAGAAGAGAG
rnacentral:lncRNA from 1 species